CUACGAAAAGGAAUUCGUUCGUUCGGUUGCCCCUCUCCGCCCGACACCCUUUGCGGGUGUGGGGUGGACCUCAGGCAGGCUUCGUGUUUCCUGGCAUGCCUCGCCAAGCUGCGUGGGUUGCCUAGGCGCACGGCGUUGCUGCCCGUUCUCUCGGAUGCGGAACGUCUCGCGCGGGUGCGGGGGUCUCGGCCUUCGCUAGCCCGGGCUUUGCAUUUGUCCCUUGACACGAACGACGGUCGCGGCCGUGUUGACCCCGUGGCCUUUGGGGGCCGACGGGGCUCAUGCGGGCGUCGACGUCGGCGAG
rnacentral:misc_RNA from 1 species